UGCACCUCCAGGAAGUGGAAGGCAAGGGGAGGAGGAGCACGAGGGAUGUGCUGUGUGUGCUUCCGGUCACGUCCCCAUUGGCCCACUCCUCCAACCAGGCCAGGUCCCAGCCGAGGGCCCGCUCACCUCACCUCCCAAGGCCCCGCCUAGGAGUGCACAGGGAGGUCAUCUAGAUAAAAACCAGAACACGCGUGUUUACAGUAUUAAAAGGGAGGGGGUGGCCUAUCGUCCAGGAGCUCAGCCUACUGUGUUACAUCUGAAAGACCCUAAUACAGUAAAAGUACUCUGAGAAUCACAAAGAGGUCUGCCCUUUCUUUUUAACUUCUGUCCUGAGCUUAACCUAAAAUCCCAAAGAGGUAAGUACUUGACCUAUUCUUACAGCUAGGCAGCAAAUUAUAUAACUCAGGGUGCUGAGUUAUUGGCUUACAGAUCCUUAACUACUCCCCGCACCAGCGAGCUUGUAGUCUGUGGGCUUCACCAGCAGAAAUACAGUUUCAGAGCGAGAGAGUUCAUGCUUGGAAACUCGAAUGCAUCCCUUUUGCACUUCUUGAAGGUGCUGAGGGAAGGGUUUCUCGAAGAGGGCACCAGGAUGGGGACCAGUGGGGAGAGACCCAGGAAGAGCAAGGGUUGUUUAAAAAGAAAAAAAGAGCCAAGGAUUUAGCUCAGUGGCAUCGCACCUGCCUCGAAAGUGCAAGGCCCUUAGUUCGAUCCCCGGUACCACACACACACAGAACAAGAAAGUAUUACACACACACACAAACACACACACACACACACACACACACACACACACACACACGGGAAACAAGGGCUGAGUAGUUGCUUCUGUUAAAUUGGAGAAGUGGAAAUGUACUUGGCAGGAGGAGGCUGCGUGGCUUGCAUUUGGAUCCCCAAAGUCUCAUGCGUUCACAGCGGGGCUGUUCGAGCCACGAUGCUUAUUUUGUCAUCUUGAAAACCACCAGUAAUAGAGGAGAUUCAAGCAGACGCUGAUUCUCAAUGUCCACCUUUGUCACAGAUGGGAUGCAUGAAUGUCUGUUCUGCAUUUAUGCUCUUACUAUCGGUCACAAUCUGUGUGUGUGAAGUCUUUUGCAGAAACAUCACGGCAACGCAGAAGUUCAAAGAAAAGCUCCAUCAAACUUGAUGGACUGAUGAGACUCUUACUUCUCAGCAAGCUUAAAGCGUUGUAAAAUGUCUUUCGAAGAUCUGGCUCUAAGACAGUGUAACUGUAGGAGAGAAGAUCCUUCAGCUCAUGAGGAAAGUUACUUAGAUGUCCAGGUAGCAGUGACCAAUCUGGGCCAUAAACACCACCAGCUCUGCCAGUCCUCUGCUGGGUUUACUUGGUUGUAACUUGAAAACCUCCACACUGGAUCAGAUGCGUAACUGCAGUGGGUUGCUGGGCAGCUUGUUGUUGUUCCUGCUGGACACAUUGGCCAAAGACCGGCUGUUCGAGGAGCGCUUCCAGAAAGGCUUGCACGCACUGCGGCUGGACUCCAGCUCCUGAGCCUAGCUUGAAACGGCACGUGGGUGCAGCCAGCAGGAAGGGCCGCAUUGACUUCUAAACUGUGUUCGCUUAUUGGCCUCUGUUCAAAACUAGACUGGUGAAAUCUAAAUCUUACAGCCUAUAGAGAUCAACGGUCCUCUUACAAAUGAAAUGCCACAUUGAUCUCUUGAAAGCCUGCCAAAUGUUUACUUACAUGGAAUAGAUAUUAUGGCUUAAUCUUUACUGCAUUUUUUUCCUGAUGAUGUCUGUGGUCUCUGAAGGGUUUUUUGAAACAAGGUCUUGCUGUCUAGUCCAGCAUGGCCUCAAACUCCUUAUGUAGCCCAGGCUGACUCCAACAUGUGGUCCUCCUCCCUCAGCCUCCCAAGAGCCAGGAUUACAAGUGUGCACCACCAUACUCAAGGGCUCUAAUUGUGAAACUAUUUUUAUUGAAAUGAAUAAUGAUUUUCUUGUUUCCAAAGAAACUUUUCCCGAAAGGAAAAGUAGUUAAAUGAUAUUUUAAAUUAGAAGAUGAAAACAAAGAUUGCCGGGAGCAUGUAUUUUCCCUAAUAAGACAUAAAGGCAUAUUCGCAUAGUAGUUAAGGGCAUGAAUUAUGGUGCCAUGCUGCAUAGCUUUAAAUCCCAGAUUUGCUGCUUAUAAACUGUAUGAUCUUAGACAUGUCAUGUAAUUUCUCUAAACUUUAGCUUUUCUUAUCUGUAAAAGGGGACAAAUGGUUCCUGCCUCACAGGGUCAUCAUGAAGCUGGGUGUGGUGCGCACGCACCAGGCAGCGGCACCACUGAACUAAAUCCCCAGAUCACCCUAGUUCUAAUAUUGGCUCUUCUGCCUCUACUUUAGACUAGAUUAUUCCAUGGACAGACAGUUUGAGUUGCCCAAAGAAUCCCUAUUAUUGAGCUAAAGUCUAGCUUAAGAUGAAGGAUUGUUUAACUCUGAAGGACAUUAAGAAUUUUUAAUGUCCUAUAUAAAUCCUUACACUAGGAAAUCAAAGAUAGAUGCUACACCUUGCUUUUAUUCCUACUUGUGGGAUAGCAGAUAAUUUAUUUGUUUUAACAAGCACUUCUGGUGGUGUGUGCCUGUAAUCCCAGCCACUUGAGAGGCUGAGGCAGGAGGAUUACUUGAGCCUAGGGGCUCAGAAGCAGCUGGGCAACACAGUGAGACACCCUGUUUUUUUAAAAAACAAAACAUUUCUAAGGAAAGAUGCUUGUUUGCUGUGUGCAACAACCAGCAGUUGACUAGAACCUGUUACUAAUUUAUUCCCAAACUCCAGCCGAUUUUGGUUAUGCUCCACUGGGCAUUCGUAACCCUGAAGAGCUAGAAUGAAUUGUCCAGGACACUGAGCAGGGGCCACCUGCCUCAUCAGGGAGAGAGCAGCCAACUGGCACCUAGGGCCUGAAUCAGUGGGGAAGGAAACCACAGAGCCCUUCAGGAUCAAUCUUCAUUUUUCUUUGUCGUCCGAGCUACAAAGAGGCACUGAGGCAUUGCAGAAGCAUAAAUCUUUAAAAAUCUGCAGUGUUAGUCACUCUGCCUUAUUAUAACCCCACUGUGCCUGUGCUUUGUAGGAAAGACUAAAAUCUAGCUGGCCCAGCCCCCACCUAGUAAGCUUGUGAACUCUCAUCAUAAAACAUAGGGCAAUCAAAUCCUCUUGUAGGAGAUGAAUGGAGGACGAGAGGAGCCCAUUCGCCUGCGUAGUAAUCAUUCUCUCCAACCUCCAAGGGAUGCAGCAGGGUGGGAAUGUAAGGAAGACAGCCCUUUGUUUGGCUGGGUGCAGCCGCACUCACCCUGUCUGCAAAGGGCCUCUUCAUGGGAGAUCUUUCAAAAUUACAAAAUGCAGGGCUGGGGAUUUAGCUCAGAGGUUUCGCCGCCUGCUGUGCAAGUGCAAGGUCCCAAGUUCGAUCCCUGGUACCAAAAAAAAAAAAAAUUACAAAAUCCACAAUGACAUUAGUCUAGCUUCUGCUUUAAAGUGAAAAAUGUCACAAAGCUAAUAUUAUAUGGUUCUAUAAAGAAAAACAUACAUGAGCUCUGUUUCAAGGGCCUGUAAAGUCCCCUCUCCAUUAUUUCCAUUUUGUUUUAUUUAUUUGUUUAUUUAUUUUUUGGUACUGGGAUCGAUCUUGGGACCUUGCGCUUGCGAGGCAGGUGGCAGAACCACUGAGCUAAAUCCCCGCCCCUGUUAUUUCUAUUUUAAAUUACUAUGUAUACUCCAUUUGAUUUUAAGGGAAAAAUAUGCUCUUACAAGCUAGAUGUUUUUCAGGAAUUUGGAGAUGUCUGAUGAGAUGGUAAUAAAAUAACAGCUGAAAGCAAUGAGAAACGCU